GAUGAACGCUGGCGGCGUGCUUAACACAUGCAAGUCGAACGGAAAGGCUCCUGCUUGCAGGGGUACUCGAGUGGCGAACGGGUGAGUAACACGUGGGUGAUCUGCCCUGCACUUCGGGAUAAGCCUGGGAAACUGGGUCUAAUACCGGAUAGGACCACAUUUUGGAUGGUGUGGUGGAAAGUUUUUCGGUGUGGGAUGAGCUGGCGGCCUAUCAGCUUGUUGGUGGGGUAAUGGCCUACCAAGGCGUCGACGGGUAGCCGGCCCGAGAGGGUGUACGGCCACAUUGGGACUGAGAUACGGCCCAGACUCCUACGGGAGGCAGCGGUGGGGAGUAUUGCACAAUGGGCGCGAGCCUGAUGCAGCGACGCCGGGUGGGGGAUGACGGCCUUCGGGUUGUAAACUCCUUUCGCUAGGGACGAAGCGCAAGUGACGGUACCUGGAGAAGAAGCACCGGCUAACUACGUG
rnacentral:rRNA from 1 species